rnacentral:rRNA from 1 species
GACGAACGCUGGUGGCGUGCCUAAUACAUGCAAGUCGAGCGAGCGGCGGACGGGUGAGUAAUGUAUGGGGACUGCCCGAUAGAGGGGGAUAACUACUGGAAACGGUAGCUAAUACCGCAUACUAUCGGAUAACCCAUAUGGGAUUAGCUAGUAGGUGAGGUAAUGGCUCACCUAGGCGACGAUCCCUAGCUGGUCUGAGAGGAUGAUCAGCCACACUGGGACUGGGACACGGCCCAGACUCCUACGGAGGCAGCAGUGGGGAAUAUUGCACAAUGGGCGCAAGCCUGAUGCAGACAUGCCGCGUGUAUGAAGAAGGCCCUAGGGUUGUAAAGUACUUUCAGUCGGGAGGCGUUACCGACAGAAGAAGCACCGGCUAACUCCGUGCCAGCAGCCGCGGUAAUAC